AUUGAACGCUGGCGGCAGGCCUAACACAUGCAAGUCGGACGAGUGGCGGACGGGUGAGUAAUGUAUGGGGACCUGCCCGAUGGCGGGGGAUAACUACUCGAAACGGUAGCUAAUACCGCAUACCAUCGGAUCAGCCCAUAUGGGAUUAGCUAGUUGGUGAGGUAACGGCUUACCUAGGCGACGAUCCCUAGCUGGUCUGAGAGGAUGACCAGCCACACUGGGACUGAGACACGGCCCAGACUCCUACGGGAGGCAGCAGUGGGGAAUAUUGGACAAUGGGCGCAAGCCUGAUGCAGCCAUGCCGCGUGUAUGAAGAAGGCCUUCGGGUUGUAAAGUACUUUCAGUCGGGAGGCGUUACCGGCAGAAGAAGCACCGGCUAACUCCGUGCCAGCCGCCGCGGUAAUAC
rnacentral:rRNA from 1 species